UACAGAGGGUGCAAGCGUUGUUCGGAAUCACUGGGCUUAAAGGGCGCGUAGGCGGGCUGUCAAGUCUGGGGUGAAAUGCCGCGGCUCAACCGUGGAACUGCCUUAGAUACUGACGGCCUUGAGGAAGGUAGGGGCAUGCGGAACUGUAGGUGGAGCGGUGAAAUGCGUUGAUAUCUACAGGAACUCCGGUGGCGAAAGCGGCGUGCUGGACCUUUUCUGACGCUGAGGCGCGAAAGCUAGGGGAGCAAACGGG
rnacentral:rRNA from 1 species